UCCCCGACAGGUAUGUUGGCAGUUUGCACGUUUCACUUCGCUGGUCGUUUAGUUUAGUUACUAUAUUCAAGGCCUUGGCGUUGUGUUGUAGGGCGACUGGUUGGGUGCUGCUCCGUGUUCCCUGUGCACACUGCUGUGUUGCUGUAGGCCGGUGGUGGCGGCACUGGUGGUCUGGUGGUGGCAUCCUCCUGUCUUGUCUUGCUGUGUCCUUGGGAACGGGUUUUUCGUCACUGAAAGAGUGUCUGCCGCGUGUGCCCGGUGAUUUUUGUGGUGUUUUCCUUUGAUGGAUCCCUCCCCUGCCCUAGCCUUCGUCCAUCACUUUGGCCUCAGCCCUGAUUAGGUUUUUUCUUUUUUUUUGUUGGUAUGAAUGAGUUUUAUUGAAAUUUUAGAGUUAAUGUUUAAUAAAAGUUUUGUUAACUUGGAA